ACGUUGUAACACCGGUUCCCCUGUGAUCACCGAAGUUAAGCAACAUUGAACCUGGUCAGUACCUAGAUAGGUGACCACAUGAGAAUGCUUCGA